UUUAAAUAUUUUUAUUCAGUAAUGAUAAAUACUUGUGGGUGAAUGCAGGCUUGGCGGAGCUUGAGCAUAGGGAGCAAAGUCCUGUUGACCAACUGUCUAUCAAGGGCCUUUAUUGGAGUGUUGCGAUCUGGGAAUCUUCCAAGCAGAAAAAUGAAUAAUGAUACUUACCACAAGGUAUAGAAUUUCUUAGAGCCCAUACUUGCUUAGUUUCGCUGAGAAGGCCUGCGAACACUCGUUGUGCAUACUCUGGUAAAAGUAGCCUUCAACGGGGCUGAAGUGUAUCAUGUGCAUUACGGUCGUUUGUGGUGGUAUCUGUAGCAUGUGGAAGACGUCCUUCUUCGAGUUGCGCCACAUGACAGGACAGAUGAAUCCAUGGAACUCGUGCUCCUCUUCCACCAGUGAGUUCCAGUUGGACAAGUUGUCGUAUGGCUGGAUCCUCAAGAACUGAACUAGGCCAAACAAAUCUGGAUUUUUGAAUAGGGGUCCCAGUGAUGGCCCAGCGAUACUUGGCAUUUAGGCAACGGACCAUCAUCGCCGUCUUGGAUGUGCUCCCCUCGACCAUCUGUGCCUCAUCUAAGCAGAGCCUCCACCACGAAAUGCAGGUCAGUGGUGUGACCGGGGCAUGGUAGCGUUUCGCAUGUCGCAGCUUCCGCUGUGUAUUCUCUUCCAGGGAAUAAUCCAGUUCCUUGCACAACACCUGAAGCAAAUGUAAUAAACAUAUAUUAUUGGUGUGAUGGUGCCGCAAAUAUGGGAUGAAUGAGUGACAAAAGCUAGCAUUUUGCCUCUUUGAGUAGAAAAUGAAAAGCAGGAAAAAAAAAUCAUGGACUAAUAAGUCAACAAGCAUAUCUUAUGAUGUGAACCAGCUUGAAGUAUUUCAGAGCACAGGAAGCCAAAACACAUAUGACAGACCAAAACAGCAAUGAUAGUCAUGGUUCAUCAUUCUGUAAAUCCCAAGGGGAAAUCUCAAAGCUAAAUAAAUUU